AACGAACGCUGGCGGCAUGCCUAACACAUGCAAGUCGAACGAGAUCUUCGGAUCUAGUGGCGCACGGGUGCGUAACGCGUGGGAAUCUGCCCCUUGCUUCGGAAUAACAGUGAGAAAUUACUGCUAAUACCGGAUGAUGUCUCCGGACCAAAGAUUUAUCGGCAAGGGAUGAGCCCGCGUAGGAUUAGGUAGUUGGUGGGGUAAUGGCCUACCAAGCCGACGAUCCUUAGCUGGUCUGAGAGGAUGAUCAGCCACACUGGGACUGAGACACGGCCCAGACUCCUACGGGAGUCAGCAGUGGGGAAUAUUGGACGAUGGGCGCAAGCCUGAUCCAGCCAUACCGCGUGGGUGAUGAAGUCCUUCGGGUUGUAAAGCCCUUUUGUUGGGAAAGAAAAGCAGCAGUUUAAUACCCCGCUGUUCUGACGGUACCCAAAGAAUAAGCACCGGCUAACUUCGUG
rnacentral:rRNA from 1 species